GAACAACUCGGCUCUCUCGGGUUGAUUUGCAAUUAUAGAACUGUUUCAGUUCAGUGUUAAUCACAGGUAGUGAUUCAUCUUGCUCACACAAUACCAGUUUUAGCACUCGUUCAUUUCUUUUAUCCCAGUUUACACCUUAUAGUUCUUAUGCCUGACGUGUGAUCCAUAACUGAAGUGGGUCAUCCUGGGCUGUUUUUCUUCCUAGAGCUGUCAUUUAUAGCACAGAAGAGCAUGAAGAUCUCAAUUUAUGUGGGCAAGGAUGAAGAGACCCUGGAAGAUGGUCAGGAGCUCCUUAGAUGUUUAGGUGUUGGAUGAGUAAGUCUUCCUAA
ensembl:lncRNA